UAGUUUAAAAAAAAUAUUCAAGAGAAUCAAGCACUUGCUAACUGAAUAAUACUCAUAAUCUGAUGACAUGCUCCCGAGAUUUAAAUACCGCAAAAACUCAAUUUCACACAUAAAAAGCAGGUCAGAUACAGAACUUCAAUACAAGGUACAUAAACAACUGAAAAAUCAUAUUGAAAAAGCUUAACACACAAAAACAAGCAUGUCGAAACAUCAAACGAAUCAUACACAGAUAUAUCAUGAAAAAGGGCAUAAAAUAAAAUACUUACAAAUAUUAUUUUGAAAACUUAACACACAAAAACAAGCAUAUCGAAACAUCAAACGAAUCAUACACAGAUAUAUCAUGAAAA
rnacentral:lncRNA from 1 species